UACGUAGGGGGCAAGCGUUGUCCGGAAUCAUUGGGCGUAAAGAGCGUGUAGGCGGUUCGGUAAGUCGGCUGUGAAAGUCCAGGGCUCAACCCUGGGAUGCCGGUCGAUACUGCCGGACUAGAGUUCGGAAGAGGCGAGUGGAAUUCCCGGUGUAGCGGUGAAAUGCGUAGAGAUCGGGAGGAACAUCAGUUGCGAAGGCGGCUCUCUGGACCAGCACUGACACUGAGGCACGAAAGCGUGGGGAGCAAACAGG
rnacentral:rRNA from 1 species